GGGCUCCAGCUGCCUCUUCCUCUAGCCAAGGCGGAGCGUGGGCUUUGGCCAAAGAUUCUCGCCACGCUUCCAUAAACACUACAGCUCAUGCAGGGCAGCUGGGAAGAGCCUCCAAGGCAGACCCUCCUGGGUUGGGACGCGCAGAGCCAGGGUCUCAAACCACGACCAGAUGGACCGCUGCCUCUUUCUGUAAACAAGGUCACGGGAGCUCAGCCUGGCCUUUGUCCACGCCAUCCUCCGCUGUCUGCGGCCACCUCCACCCUCUGCCGACAGCGUGGGCGCCUCGCCGAGGAGGCUGAGGACGUUCACCGACCGGCCCAUUACAUUAGAGGCUGCUGGCCGCCGACGCAGACCCCUGGCCUCGUGGACCAGCAAGCACGAGGGGCGGUUUUGUUUCUGGUGAGCGCCCGCCCUACAGGUGUCUGGUGAAAAGAUUCCGUGUCGCAUCCUGCGGCAAAGGAGCCAGCUGCCGUGGCAGAAGGGGGCACAACCAGAAGAAAAGAGCCUUCACUUGCCUGGACACCCAGGACACCCAGCCCGCAGCCAGGCAUACCACGGUGCUAUUAUGUCUCCUGCUGGCUACAGACAACGUCACAGGAAGACAUCGUCAGGAGCCUGUGUCUGUGAGGAAAGAAAGCGAAAGACACCAUCAGGUACCGCAAAAACAGCCCUGGCCCAGGUCAGGGACUGUUUUUUGUUCUCCGGAGACAUCUCCAGCCUGGCUUUGUGCCACCUGCCCAUCAAAGAUGACGCAUACCUGUCACCACUGCCCAUCCCUGACACACCCAAUCCACAGCCAACAUCUGCUUCUUCACGGCCUGCCCUGUCAGCCAACACAAGCCCACUCCUGUAACGAGUCCUCCUGCCCUUCUCUACCUAGAGGCCUCAUUGCACAGCAUUUCCCAAGACGUGCAGGCAACCUUUCGCUCCAGCAGGUAAGAAACCUGGCACUGGCUGUUGGCAGGUGCCUUCCUGGCAGGUUUGGCAGGUGGGCAUCCAUACAGGUGACAGUUCUGUCGAAGGCAUCACUGUCACAUGGCAUGGUGGCCAUGCAUCCCGUCCCCUCUCACGUCCAGAUCCCGAAGACAGUGCCGCAUCAUUCUGAUGGGCAGCGGGCUGUUCCUGGGACCCUCCAGACCCUCGGACUACUUAUUUGAAGUCUAAGAUAGAGCUGCCGCGACAUUUUGGCUGUGAAUUAGUGACCAUUUGGGGUAAUAUUAGUCUAACGUUUGGACAGUGACAAAGACAGGGACCAAGGUCUACAGCCCCAGCAGUUCCCACAGGGCUGAGACUGGAGAAGCACUGGAAGCUGACUCGCAGAUCACCUGAAGGGAGCGUCCAGGCAAGCAGUCGUCCCCCGCCUGGGAGCCACCCCAGGAGGCCCGCCGCCCCCUCGGAGCUGGGAGGUGGGAAUCGCCCGCCCACUCUGCCACCCAGGCUGUGCUACCAGCAGGGAAGCUGUGCCCAGCCAUGAUAUCAGGUGGCUGAGCCCCAUCUCCAGGCCUGAGCCUGGCCUGGAAGCCUCAGUCCUUAGGGCCUGGUGCUGGGGCCCCAAUUCUGAGGUGGGCAUCAGUGGUGAGUCCUGGCUACGGCUCCUUCCUAAGUCAGACCCUGCGAUUGUCUUGAGGAGCAGAGCCAGGGGCAGAGAGACACCUCUCCCCAGCAUGGCUGAGAAUGUAAGGCAGGAGGCUCCUCCCCUCCCUCCAGGUGAGCAGCAGGCAAGAGGCUCGGGGCAGAGGGGUCAGGCGCUCAGGGGAAUGUCUCCCGAAGGCUUGGGGACCACGAGCCAGGCUGACCUCCAGCCCAAACAGGACAUGAAAGCAGAAGGCAAGGACGGCUGGGGCUGACUCCGGCUGACCACCAUCCCCAGCCCCACUCACAGCACUGCUGAAACCCAGACGGGCUGGCUCUCCCCAUCCCCCACGGCAAGGCUCUGGGGUGACCCCUGCUGUCUGGGGCAAGUGGAGACUCCCAUGGCCACAAAGCCACAGAGAUGACCGGCUCCCCGUGUGAGACAGCCUUGCACAGGCUGAUUCUGACAGGCAGUGUGGGCUCCCAUGUCCUCAGGGCCAUGGCUGGGAUGACGGUUGCAGAAGCCAGAAGGUCCCUGACCUCCAACAUCUUCCUGUGUAGCUGAGGAUGCUGAAAGGGGCCCAUGGUUGUGCCCUGUGGGGCGGAGUGCUCCGCUGAUGCUCUGGGCAGGAUUGUGGGGGGUGGUACAGGAGGAGGGGAAAGAAGGGGAGAGGAGAGAAGAGGGGAGGGGAGGGGAGGAGAGAGGAGGGAAGAGAGGGAGGAGAUCUGCAAACAGUGCAGGGGCUGGUGCGCCUGGGGGAAGAGUAGGGCAGGGCAAUGAACCUGGGCCUCCCCCAACUCCUUACUCCCCUCACCCAGGCUCACCAGAGGCUGUCGAGAGCACCCACCCUGCUCCCUCGCCUCAGGCGUCCCCAGCACAUUUCGAAGCCCCGCAGCCAGCAAGAGUCCCUCGGGACUGCCUCCCGCCUGGGCUUCUCUCCGGAACCCACUGCCCGGUUGUUAGGGAAGCAUCUGCGCUAAUCCCACAGCUCAGCCAUGCCAGAUCCUCAGAGCGGGAGUGAAUGGAUCCUGAAACCCACGGCUGCUGUUGGGGGAGGAGGGGACCUUGGGGUUGGCUCCCAGCCCCUCUCUAGCCCUUCCUCUGAGGAACCAAGCCACGGGGGUCACGGACAGGGGAUUGGGCCACUCAGCUCAGCCAGCCUUGAGUGUGAGGACCAUGGGAGGCACCAUACCUGUCUGAGCCUGGAGAGGGCUUCCUAGGAGGAGGUGUCACCAGGCUGAGCCUUGAGGGUUGAGUUGGUCCAAUAAGUGGGCAGCCCGAUAGAUGGCGGAUGGCUUGGUCUGCCCAGCAUCUAGAGAUCGAAGGCCAGAAGUGGUACAUGGUGGGAGUGGCUUGAAAGCAGCUCUGCUUCCACCCGUGAGGACAGUGGUAUUCAGACCUCUCACUGUGGGAAUCUUCAUUAAACAAAAGCUCACCUGGAGUCCCUGUCCAUGAAAGAAUGGAACAGAUGAUCACCGCCACCCACUGUGUGCAGCUCUGUGCCAGGCUGUGCUGAACCCUGGAAAUGCUUGCCAUGGCCUGUCGCACCAGCCAUGCACCCUUCUGCAGAUGAAGAAGGUGAGGCACAGAGAGGGAGCUUCCCCAGGGUGAGCAGGGCAGGGUGCGUGGCCUCUCUGCUGCACCACCCCUCCCUGGAACAGCUCCUAAGUGGAGUGGGAAUUCUGCAGAAUCCCCAGGACCUGGCCAGCAACAGAGGAAAGAGUAGUCAGACGGGAGACAGAGAGGGCUGGGGGCUGAGGGUACUGGGGCCGUCGGGGCACGGCCUGGCCAAUAAGGAGUCAGGCCACCCGCCCUGCCCCUCUGCCACCUGGCUUGACGAGCUGGAGGGCUGUUGCUUGUUGGGCUGGUUUCAGGUUUUCAUUUCUUAAGGAGAAUCGGGGUGAUGGGCAAUGUGUGGAGCAAAAGGAAGGCAGAAAGGCAGGUGGGCGGAGUGGGGAGACUGUGGGGCGUGCAUGCUGCAGGGCCGCCCUCCCCGACCUGCAUGCAUCUGGGCUGGCUGGGGAGUUCCAGGGACAGCAGGCCGGCUGCCCUUCAGGGGAACCUGUAGACCCUCGGCCAGCAGCCCCCACUCUCCUUCCCUGCUGGACACCGGAGUCUGAGCCAAUAAGCUGGACCUGCCCUGGGCCUCGGGGUCCAAAGAGGCCUUUCAGGGAGGGCUGACUGCGUGUGGCCUGAACACACAGUCCUGGCAGCUGCAGCUGGUGGGGGGCAGGUUCCUGGGCCUGGCAGGGUGGGGGGGGUGUGGCAACCUCUGUGAUGUGCUGCACAGAGGCCCCUCAGGACUGAGGCACACAUGGCUCACCAGCCUGCUCAUGACCAAAGACCCCUCCGCACAUCACCUUUGGUGACGCAGCUCAGCGGAGGCAGCUGUGUCCAGAGACUAUCCCAGGGUGGUCAGCUCCAAAGGUCAUCUCAGCUCCAGAGCAUCCCGGGGUCACAGUGAAGUCGCUGCCUCGCCUGCCCUUUUUCGCGUGGUGUUCCCAAGAACACCUGGGGAAACCCCUGCGUGCAAACUCCAGUCCCAGAGGCGGCAGCCCCCUGGGGGACAGCAGGUGGGAGGGUGGCUCAGUGCCGGGCCGAGAGGGCCUGAGGGUCUGCUCACCUGGCCAGCAGCCACAGUGCAGCAGCAGGACUAGCCUCGAGACCCCAGCCAGGCCGGCCUCCAGGAGACAGGAGGUGAGGAGAGCAGCGCCCCCUCCCUCUGCUGGUGCAAACCUCGGGAGGUCCAGGGAUGUCGGGAAGACACACGCCCUUCUGUGAGCCAUGGGGGUGGAGGGGCGUGGGUGAUGCCGCAGGCUGGCACCGGUGGGCCCGGUCAGGAACAAGUCCAUCUGACAGCCAGAGGGCAUAGGAGAGGCUCUGAGAGCAGGGCCCGUGGCACCUCCUCCACCCCUGAGAGGGUCUCCUGACCACUGGUGCCCAUCUCUGCCCUCUCCUGUGCUCUCUGGGUGGCAAGGUCGGGAAGCCUGACAUUCCCCAGACCUCCUUGCUGACGGGGCCAGGACAUGGGUGGGGAGGUGGGGGCUGACCUUCCCCAGGGCCAGGUGAGGGCCCCACGCAUGGCUUCUCUGUUCGGGCUCCAGCGAGGUCAGGCCUUGCGUGCUGUCGUCUAGAUGGCUGUUCUGGGGAGGCAGCCCCGCGUUACGCUGGUGUCCUGGGUGCUAGACUCUGCACUCCACCCCCCUGCCUCAGAGCAGGACCCGUUCAGGCCAGGCAAGGCACUGCAGCUGCGCUGGGCUGACCUGGAGGCCACAACCGGCCUCAGAGCCCCCAUAUUCCUUUCCCAGGCCUCCCAAACGUCUCAGGUCUUACUCCCAUUCUGCUUGAGGAAGUUUCUUUUCCCUGCACUGACCCCUGAUGAUACACUCUCCCACACAGAAGACUAGAGAUGUAUGCUGAGGAAAAAUUCCACAGGGCCUGCAGAUGGUGGGGACUCCAGGGACACCAGGCACAAAAGCAGGUGCCACUGGCUCCCAACUGAGUGUAGGAGCUUCAGUGAAACACCUGCCCACGGUCAGUACCGAGGCUCCUUCUACCCAGACCCGCUUCUCCCUCAGACCACCUGCAGCCAGGCUCCACCCCUAGCAGGAACAAGAAGAACCUUCAUGAAGAAGCUAAACUGUUCCACAGAAAAGGCUCACAGACACUGGCAGCCCGGCCAGCUGCCCCCUCGCCCCAUGACCGAUGCUACCUCCUGGCUGCCCAGGCUGACCGCAGCUCUCUCCUGGACCAUUGGAGCCUGGAUGGCCAGGGAUGGAAGAAGCUGCCUGAGCAUCUUCAGCAAGGAAGGAAGGUCAAGGAAGGAAGGAGGGAGGGAAGGAAGGAAGGAAAGAAGGAAGGAAGGAAGGAAGGAAGGAAGGAAGGAAGGAAGGAAGGAAGGAAGGAAGGAAGGAAUCAGAACAAAGGAAAACGAGGAAACCAGAUGAGACAGAGUUCACAGGGAGCAGAGGGGACUUGAAAACAUGUGUCAGCAGAACCCGCCCAGCAAUGAAAUGAAGGAAGCAGAGUGCAGCCGUUUAAAAGUCACCCCGCCGGGGAGGACACUGCAGAGUGCUCACACAUCGCAGGCCCCAUCCAUGUGGAGCCCCAGAAAAUGCAAAGUGGGGGAUGCAGCCAAUCAGUGGAGGGGCCACAGGGCAGGGGGAGCUCUGGGGACGACAGCACGGUGACAGGCGACGGGCGGAGGCAUUGGUCCAACGUAUCACGCUGUGCACCUUAAGUACAGCUUACUGUGCAGAAGUUAUACCCCAAUACAGUUGUUUAAAAAUGAAAUAAAAAGCCAACCGUAAGUGACGUCCCCAGAGAGACCUGAGAAGACGGGGCAUCACAAAGUGAGAACAGGAUAGUAUUUUUAAAAAGGAAUGACCAGGCUGGGCGCAGUGGCUCACGCCUGUAAUCUCAGCACUUUGGGAGGCCAAGACAGGAGGAUCACUUGAGGUCAAGAGUUCAAGACCAGCCUGGGUAACAUGGGGAAACACUGUCUCUACUAAAAAUGCUAAAAAUAGCCAGGUGUGGUGGUGGGCGCCUGUAAUCUCAGCUACUUGGGAGGCUGAGGUGGGAGAAUUGCUUGAACCCAGGAAGCGGAGGCUGCAGUGAGCCGAGAUCACGCCAUUGCACUCCAGCCUGGGUGACAAGAGUGAGACCUCAUCUCAAAAAAAUAAUAAAAAUAAAUAAAUAAAUAAAAAGGAAUGACCAAAAACCAAGAAAGGACUCUUGAAUAAUCACUGGAAUAAAAGUUUAGUAAAACACUUGGAAAAUAAAGAUGAGAAGAUAUCCCCAGAAGGCAGAACAGAAGCUCAAAGAGAUGGACAAAAGGAAACAAAAAAUGAAUCAAUAAGGAACGGAAGGUCGGUCUAAGAACUCCAAACUCCGGCUCACAGGGGGAGGAAAUUAUCCGAGAAGGGAAUCAAGCCCAGACAGCUGGGGUCCUCCGAUUGGAAGAUACACCGCGUUCCCAGCACAGAAACGGAGUGAAAUUCCAGCCUGGUGUGCAUCGUAGUGAAAUCCUCACGCUCUCAGUGUAAAUACAUAUUUACCCUAAAAGCUUCCAGACUGGGAGAAGCAAACAGACAGCACAGAGCACUAAGAAUCCAAUGACGAGAACCUAAGUAGACACCCGUGUGCCUGACCGGAAGCCUCUCGGUUCUGGGCAGUGUGCUGGGUCCCCUGCCAGUCCUGGGUCCGUCCUCAGCCGUCAUCUGGACCUUCUGCUCGUCAGUGGCUGCAGAGGGCUGUCACUUUCUGGGAGGCAGCUUGCCGUCUGCUAACAGCCACAGUUCCCCUGCUGUUCCCAAGUGCUUUGAAUUGCCGAGCCCUUGCUAGCCUGCAUCCAACUCCAGAAUCUCCCCAGGAUGACUGUGGUCCCCAUACAGAACGUGUCCCUUGCCAGAUACAGCCCCCCAGGUGUUCACUAGCAAGGGAGGAUGUGCUUCUGUGUUCCCACGUUCCAGACCCUAUACUCCUGUUGAUGCAGCCUCAACUGGAAUCGACUUCUGAUGCCUGCUCUUUGCUAAUCAAUGGUUUUGCUAGUUAAUGGUGACUCUGUGGUGAUGAGUGUGUGGGCUGCUCCUAAGCCCUUUGGGGUCUGGGCCUGGCCUCAUUUGAGAAAGAGGAUUUCUGCUUGGCCUGGCCCAGCCCAAAGGCCAGACUCGGAUGUGGGUGCUCAGAGUGUGUUAGUUGUGACCGGAGCUCUGAGUCAGUUCUUGGGCGCCUGACUGGUGGUGCUUUUGCCUCUGUUUCCUCUCAAUGUCCUUGGAUUUUUGUGAAAGUCCAACAGCCUCCACUGUGCUGGGAGCCAGGAGGGGAUAGGAGGGAGAGUGGGUGUGUGUAGUCCCUGUCCCAGCCAUCCACUCUGGAGGGGCUGUAUCCUGAGAGCCAGGGCGGGGCAGUAGUGCCCCGAGACUCUGUGCACCCCCCAGGGCUGUGGGGGGUCCUUGGAGAGCUGAGGGCUCCUCCGUCCACCACCAAGUAGCCCCCACACCAGGACCUGCUGCAGAGGCUCUGGAAGAGCACCGUCUGCCUCGCCCACUGCUGUGCUCUACCCCACCCUGGCAAGGACUUCCCGAAGGGCACAGACAGGGGCAGGGUGGGGCUCUGCCAGACCAGGCACGGUGCCUCUGCAGACAGCACCCCUCUCUGUGCCUUGGAGCCCCGAGGGAGCCUCAGAAUCCUUCUUGACACAGGGCUCUCAAAAGCUACCACCUGGCCAGAGUUCACCUUUCCAUCUAAAGCUCUUUGCCACUGCUGGUCUAUGUCGGCCAUCUGAGUGCCCCCUCAGGUGGGUAAGACUGGAGCCGAGUCCCAGGCCCAGUUCUUCCUGUCUCCCCAAACCCCAAACCUGGCUGGGGACAAGACUGGACAUCUGUGCUCAGUCCUGGCUCAGCUGGUCAGCCUCGCAGGAAUCCAUCCCGGGGUAGGGAUUGUUCCAUGGACUCCUCCAUCUCUUGGAAAUGAAAGUCCCAGGGGGCCAGGGUGGUAGAAGUCAGGGAUGUGGGAACUAUCUGCUUGGCUGUGCCCUGGACAAAGCCAUGGGGCGGGCCCCAGAAAAGCUGGGUUUUGGUGACAGCAGGAGGUGUUUUGGGGCCGUGGGAGCAGGUCUGGAGGACCAGGGCAGGUGCAAGAGUCCUGAGGAAGCCCUGAAUAGGGGAUAUGGGGCCAGUGGCAGGGCCAGGACCCAUUCCAAGGGUUCCUGUAACACAGGAGGGUCACCGGGCUGGGCGGUGGGGGCAGGAUGGAGAGAGGAGAGGGUGCAAGCCCAAGUGGCCUGCCCUCAUUAUCACUCAGGUGUGUCCCCCAUCCCUGCUCCACCAGUAACUGUUGGUCACCUUCAUGGGCCUUUCCAGAAUGGUGUGACCUGGUCCCGCCUGGUGCAGAUCUAGGGUUUGGGGAGAGUCACGGGCAGGCUGGGCAUGGCCUCUACAGAGGGCAACCGAGGGCUCGGGCCCCUGAGGAGGGGGAGAUGAGCAGGGAACCCCGUAGGGAGGCCUUCCAAGCAGAGGGCAGCCUGAGAGGCUUAGUGGGGUUGAGGUGAGCUCCUCAUGGGUGGGGCGGCAGCAGGCCUGGUCCUAGCUAGGCAGUGUGCCCCAUGAUGGUGAAUGCACGAACAGAAGGGGGAGGGUGGGGAAAGGCUGGUGCCGUGACCACAGGCCAUGCUGCAGGACUGGACACAGCCAGGCCUGGGAGCCAGGUGUGUGGUUUUCAAGACCCCCUCAUUCCAUGCAGACGGUUGUGGGGAGGAGGGGAGAGGGAGCUGCUGGAAUGUUCCAGGCCUGGAUGUGUGUGCAGUGGCAGGGCAGACCCCCAGGACCUGGGCACCAGAAAUGAUGUGGGCUCUGAUACGGUCACGUUGUUUCCUGACUUUGGUGUUUGAGGAUCACCAAAGCCCUGGAAAGACCUGGCUCAGCCAAGGGCCAUGGGUGCUGUGGGGAGGGGAGAGAACAGAGAGGGAGGAGCCCAGGGCUGCUGGUCCCCUGACCCCCCACCAAGUACACCCUGGCUCCCUGAGCUGGUUCUGGGACCAACUUGUCCCUGAAGCCUCCAGCACCCCAGAGUUAGGGACAGGAGGGUUUCCAGCUGCAGGCAGAAGCCUGGGGGCAUGCAUGGGCCAGGGAGCCAGACCACCUGAAGGCAGAGGGGGACAGAGGCCUGCAGAGCCUCUGGAAUUGGGACCACACUGCCCAGUCCUGUGCUACCUCUGCAGGCCACAGGAAAUGCAGGCCCCGCAAAACAAGAACCCAGGGCCUCUGAAAAAUCAGGAAGCUCAGGACAGUGGUGUGUUAAAGUAGGUAGAGCCCAGCUGAGCACAGGGCCUCCUGGGCAUGGCUGUCCUGGGCACGGGGCCCUGUAGAGUGCAGGCCCUCCUGGGCAUAAACACUCCUGGAUAUGGGCUCUCCUGGGCAUAGGCCCUCCUGGGAAUGGACCCUCCUGGGCAUAGACCAUCCUGGGCAUGGACCCUACUGAAUAUGGGUCUUCCUGGACAUAGGACCCUCCUGGGCCUGGGCCCUCCUGGCAUGGACUCUCCUUGGUUGGCAUGGACCCUACUGGUCAUAGACCCUCAUGGUCAUGGAUCCUCUUGGGCAUGGGCCUUUCUGGGCACAGGGCUCUGCUGUGUGUGGACCCUCCUGUGAGUAGGCCCUUGUGAACACUCUACUGGCCAUGGGUCCUCCUGGGCAUGAGCCUUCCUGGGCAAAGGCCCCUGGACAUGGACUCUCCUGGGUAUGGACCCUCCUAAGCAUGGACCCUCCUGGGCAUGGACCUUCCUGGGCAUGGAGUCUCCUG